CUAUAACUCUCUCUUUAUGCUAAUUACGUAUCUCAAAUUUUAUAUAUAGAAGGACAUAUUUUUAAGUGGUAAUACUUACCACCAUUAACCUACCUUUGAUAGAUAGCAAUUCGCUAACCAUUCAAAAUAAGAAUAUGAAUAUAACAAGAAGAAUCAACACAAGGGUCUAUUCUUUAUUAUUAUCCAUUUGAUUGAUAUGUAAGCGACUAAGAUUUGAAAGCUGUUUGUUCUUUGCUAUCAAGUGAUAAAGCAUAAUUUGGAACCUUGGACGACCCCUUAAGUCCUUGCUUGACAACUGAUUUGGGUUGGAAAUGAAAGAAGGGUGAUAGGGUCCAAGAGGAAAAAUAAAGAUGGCAUAGUGGUUCUUUCAUUUGCUUUAAAAAAUUUCUGAAGGAAAAGAAUGUUAAGAU
rnacentral:lncRNA from 1 species